rnacentral:rRNA from 1 species
UGAGGAAUUUUCCGCAAUGGACGAAAGUCUGACGGAGCAACGCCGCGUGCAGGAGGACGGCCUUCGGGUUGUAAACUGCUUUUCUCAGGGACGAGCAAGGACGGUACCUGAGGAAGAAGCCCCGGCUAACUACGUGCCAGCAGCCGCGGUAAUACGUAGGGGGCGAGCGUUGUCCGGAUUUAUUGGGCGUAAAGCGUCCGCAGGCGGUGUGGCAAGUUCGAGGUGACAGUGCGCGGCUUCACUGCGCAAGGUCCUCGAAAACUGCCAGACUUGAGGGCUUCAGAGGGACCUGGAAUUCCGGGUGGAGUGGUGAAAUGCGUAGAGAUCCGGAGGAACACCAAAGGCGCAGGCAGGGUCCUGGGAAGCCACUGACGCUCAUGGACGAAAGCUAGGGGAGCGAACGGGAUUAGAUACCCCCGUAGUCC